AGAAUUGACGGGACCGCACAAGCGGUGGAUGAUGUGGUUAAUUCGAUGCAACGCGAAAACCUUACCACCUUUGACAUGUACGGAAGCCUUUAGAGAUAGAGGCGUGCUCGAAAGAGAGCCGUAACACAGGUGCUGCAUGGCUGUCGUCAGCUCGUGUCGUGAGAUGUUGGGUCAAGUCCCGCAACGAGCGCAACCCUUGUCAUUAGUUGCUACAUUCAGCUGGGCACUCUAAUGAGACUGCCGGUGACAAGCCGGAGGAAGGUGGGGAUGACGUCAAGUCCUCAUGGCCCUUAUAGGUGGGGCUACACACGUCAUACAAUGGCUGGUACAAAGGGUUGCCAACCCGCGAGGGGGAGCUAAUCCCAUAAAGCCAGUCGUAGUCCGGAUCGUAGUCUGCAACUCGACUACGUGAAGUCGGAAUCGCUAGUAAUCGUGGAUCAGAAUGUCACGGUGAAUACGUUCCCGGGUCUU
rnacentral:rRNA from 1 species